CGCGUCGUCUCCUCGCCUGGGCGUGGGAGGCGGUCGUCCCGGCGCUGGUGGCCUCGCAGGGUCACGGGAAGCGGACGGUCCCGCCCGGUGGCCGCAGCCGAAUCGGCCGAGCGCGCCUGCGGUGGGUGGGGGCGGGGCCGGGGCGGGGAGACCCGCCACGCGCGAAGGGAGCCAGGAAGCCCGUGCGGCUGCGGCCUGCUCGACCCUUGGCGGGACGGUGCCUCUGGGCUGGGGGUUCCCGGACCAGAGGUCUGGAAGCAAGCGCAGAGCGGCCGCGGACACCCUUCCCUGUCCCCUCCUCCCGCCACCGUCACAUGCCUGCGACGUACGUGUGCGCGGAGAAACGCGACCAUACCUUUGCACGGGCACCGAUCCGCACGCAGUCAUUCCGGCCCUCCCCACCUCCCGCUGGGCCCUUAGGGCCGCGACCUCACCGAGGCCGCCGGCUGUGCGGGGUUCAGCCUGUUGCCCCUGGCACUCCUCUCGGGGGGGGGGGAGGCUUCCAGGAUUUGAUUGAGGGGAACUGGACUGUAGGGCCCCCAAAUCCUUCCCGUGUGACAGUGUGAGGGCCUGGUGUCCUCUUUCUCCUGUUGGAUACGGGUCUGCUAGGCUGUGAGAACACGAGCCACUUACAUGAAAUGGUUUUCUCUGCUGCCGGCUGGGGCCUUAUGUGGUUAGCAGAACCAACCCGUGAGUGAGGUGCAACGUGGAAGGCUGAGAAGUGAAGGAGGGGUGUCAGUCGCGUCAGGGCUGUCCGGCCGUGAGUUCCAUGAAGAUGGAACAGGCAGGGGGCAGGUCGCUGGUGCCUGCGGCAACCGGUGUGUUCAUGGAGGGGGGCGGGCAGUGCGAGGCGAAGAAGUAGAGACUGUGAGUGUAGACCGCUGCUCCUGGGACCUCUGCUAUGCAGAGGUUUAGACAAGUUGGCAGGUGCUGGAGACACGUGCGGGCUCAGGGGCUGGGGGGGGGGGGGGUUCUUUGCCCCUGCAGUGAGGAGUGUACAGGUGUGGCUUUCUGAAAGCGAGACCAUCUACUCACAGGGGAGGGGAGUAGAGCUGCCUGAGCAAGAGCAGACGGAGUGAGGUCCUCCAGUGAAGGACUGUGCUUGGCCCAGAGCACAGCUGAGGGCAGGUGGCCACGCAGCUCAGCCCCAGACAGAGGGAACGCAGGGGGUGUGGUGCCAGGGCGGCAGGACGGUGGGUUGGGAAAGGGGUGAUCCCAGGGCCUUAUCUUUGAGAGCAGAUGUGUUCUCUUAAACGAGAGGAGGGGUUGAGGCCAGGUUUAUGUCCUUCGAGAACUGGGAGGAGAGAUGAUCCAGAUUCGGGGUGCUCCUGAGUGCAGCGCAGUGCCCCAGGCCCUGUGAUGAGGAUGAUGAUAAUGAUGAGGGGCGGCCACUGUUUGUGGCUGUCCUGUUAGGUGCCACAUGCCGGGCUAGGUGCCCCUGCACCUUGUCCCCGGUCCUCGCGGCCCCGAUGGAGACUGGGGCUCCUUGAGGCGCCAGGACCCAGCUGAGGCUCGGGCCGGGGUCGUGCUCCUCCCACUGCACAGCUCUGCCGUGCGUGAGGAGGAGGGACCCCCUCGUCCAGGUGCAAGGACAAGGGGUAGGUGCACUCAGGUCCCCUGCAAUCAUGUGCUGUCUCUCUAUCCCUCGGCGCCUCCUUCUCAGCUAUAGAGCGGGGUGACGAAGCGCUGCCUUACUGGGUUAUGUGAGGAUCGAAUCCUGUGAUGUGUUGAUUGUGCCCACCCCAGUGCCUGGCAUGGAGACGGUGCGUGCGCCCUGGUACCAGUUGUUCCUGCUCUGGUUCCUGGUUUCUCUAGGCCCGGGUCAGGGUCGGGGGGUGUCUGUUGAUGGUGGAGAGCAGUGGGGCAGGAAGGGGUCAGAGGAGAGUGGCGCCCAAAGGGGUCGGGAGGAGACAGCUGCCAGGACCAUGUGCGAUCACAGGGCGCCCCCAGCGCUGAGCUGAGGUCGGAUACCAAGGGUUUGUGCUCAGCAGCCCCAGGGUGGCAAAGCCCAGGAUGUCCCUGUCUGUGCUGGGAGAGGGGUAGAGCCAGCUCACUGAGUCGUCCAGCCGAGGGGCCCCUCGCCAUCUGUGCUCUCCUGGGGCUCAGUGACCUCCGAUGUAGAACUGACCACAGGCUGUCCUGGCCAUGCCUUUCUCUAGCUAUCCCCGCCCUCCUCUCUGAGGUCCCCAACGACUCCACGUGAUGAACACGUCAUCCUGACCGCCGGCCCCUUCCUUUGUGCCCGUCAGCUGACCGUGUAGUGACAGAGGAGGAGGAGCCAAGGCUCUCUGUUCCCCCACUGUCCAGGCCUGGUGAGGCCCAAGGCGCUCUGGGGAGAUGAAGUUUGGCUGCCUCUCCUUCCGGCAGCCUUAUGCAGGUUUUGUCUUAAACGGGGUCAAGACCCUGGAGACGCGUUGGCGUCCUCUGCUGAGCAGCCACCGGAACCGUACCAUCGCCAUCCACGUUGCUCACAGGGACUGGGAAGACACCGCAUGGAGGGAGCUGCUGGCGGAGAGGCUUGGAAUGACCCCUGCUCAGAUUCAGGCCUUGCUUCUGGAAGGGGAAAAGUAUGGCCGUGGCGUGAUUGCUGGCAAGUGAUGAGAAGCCGCAUGCUGCUGAGACACCCCCGAGGGCUACUCCCCAGGACCUUGCUCAGGAGUUUUGUGCCUUGUUCCCUUGUGCGGGCCUUGGUUUCUGGAAGGAAAAACCAUCGUGUGCUUCUCUUUGUGCUCAGGGCUUGUUGACAUUGGGGAAACCGUGCAGUGCCCAGAGGACUUAGCUCCUGAUGAGGUUGUGGCGCUGGAGAAUCAAGCUGUACUGACCAGCCUGAAGCAGAAGUACCUCACCGUG